GACGAACGCUGGCGGCGUGCUUAACACAUGCAAGUCGAGCGGAAAGGCCCUUUCGGGGGUACUCGAGCGGCGAACGGGUGAGUAACACGUGAGUAAUCUGCCCUUGGCUUUGGGAUAACUACCGGAAACGGUGGCUAAUACCGGAUACGACCACUCCUUGCAUGAGGUGGUGGUGGAAAGUUUUUUUCGGCCAGGGAUGUGCUCGCGGCCUAUCAGCUUGUUGGUGGGGUAAAUGGCCUACCAAGGCUUCGACGGGUAGCCGGCCUGAGAGGGUGACCGGCCACACUGGGACUGAGACACGGCCCAGACUCCUACGGGAGGCAGCAGUGGGGAAUAUUGGACAAUGGGC
rnacentral:rRNA from 1 species